CCGUCCGGCAUGUGAGACCACAAUCCCGGUAGGGUUCCCUACGGACCCGGUCCGUCCACCAUCUCCCAGGAUAUCUAGUCAGGCUGACCCCAUCAUACAAUUAUCAGUCUACACAAUCUUUCAUUUUCCUUUUCCUCAAUAAGCAUCAUCAAUUCACAUACAAACAAGCAACAGUAGUUCAUGCCAAACAGACAACAUACAGUAUCAGUUCUUCAGUCAUUCAACCCAUAAUUAAUAAAACAGUAAUAUAUGCAUUCGAAAUUAUAAAAUGAACACAUCAAACCCCAUAAUGCAUUUAAAGCUGUAAAACAGUGUAAAACAUGCCAAACAACAGUAAAUCAUUAAUCACACUAGACUCGGGCUCCAUUAGCAACCUUAAGCAAUUUCACACAUGCGUUAAUUCAAGAAAUACCGUUUUAUCAUUUUGAACUUUAAUACCGUGAUAGGAAAUAGAGUGAGGGGUCCUUACUUGUUUUCGGGAUCCGAAUACGAUUCACAGUGCGCCUGCAGGCUGUCCCUAAUUUUCCC
rnacentral:lncRNA from 1 species